rnacentral:rRNA from 1 species
AUUGAGCGCUGGCGGCAGGCCUAACACAUGCAAGUCGAGCGGAUGAAGGGAGCUUGCUCCUGGAUUCAGCGGCGGACGGGUGAGUAAUGCCUAGGAAUCUGCCUGGUAGUGGGGGAUAACGUCCGGAAACGGGCGCUAAUACCGCAUACGUCCUGAGGGAGAAAGUGGGGGAUCUUCGGACCUCACGCUAUCAGAUGAGCCUAGGUCGGAUUAGCUAGUUGGUGGGGUAAAGGCCUACCAAGGCGACGAUCCGUAACUGGUCUGAGAGGAUGAUCAGUCACACUGGAACCGGAGCAAGGUCCUGACUCCUAAGGGAGGCAGAAGUGGGGAAUAUUGGACAAUGGGCGAAAGCCUGAUCCAGCCAUGCCGCGUGUGUGAAGAAGGUCUUCGGAUUGUAAAGCACUUUAAGUUGGGAGGAAGGGCAGUAAGUUAAUACCUUGCUGUUUUGACGUUACCAACAGAAUAAGCACCGGCUAACUUCGUG